rnacentral:rRNA from 1 species
CCUAGGGUGGCAGCAGUGGGGAAUAUUGGACAAUGGGGGGAACCCUGAUCCAGCCAUGCCGCGUGUGUGAAGAAGGCCCUCGGGUUGUAAAGCACUUUCAGUGAGGAAGAACGCCUGGUGGUUAAUACCCAUCAGGAAAGACAUCACUCACAGAAGAAGCACCGGCUAACUCCGUGCCAGCAGCCGCGGUAAUACGGAGGGUGCGAGCGUUAAUCGGAAUUACUGGGCGUAAAGCGCGCGUAGGUGGCUUGAUAAGCCGGUUGUGAAAGCCCCGGGCUCAACCUGGGAACGGCAUCCGGAACUGUCAAGCUAGAGUGCAGGAGAGGAAGGUAGAAUUCCCGGUGUAGCGGUGAAAUGCGUAGAGAUCGGGAGGAAUACCAGUGGCGAAGGCGGCCUUCUGGACUGACACUGACACUGAGGUGCGAAAGCGUGGGUAGCAAACAGGAUUAGAUACCCGAGUAGUC